rnacentral:rRNA from 1 species
AAUAUUGGACAAUGGGCGAAAGCCUGAUCCAGCCAUGCCGCGUGGGUGAAGAAGGNCCNNGGGUUNUNAAGCCCUUUUGUUGGNNNNNAAAUCUUUCCGGUUAAUACCCGGAGAGGAUGACGGUACCCAAAGAAUAAGCACCGGCUAACUUCGUUCCAGCAGCCGCGGUAAUACGAAGGGUGCAAGCGUUACCCGGAAUUACUGGGCGUAAAGCGUGCGUAGGUGGUUCGUUAAGUCUGAUGUAAAAGCCCCGGGCUCAACCUGGGAAUUGCAUUGGAUACUGGCGGGCUAGAGUACGGUAGAGGGUGGCGGAAUUCCUGGUGUAGCAGUGAAAUGCGUAGAGAUCAGGAGGAACAUCCGUGGCGAAGGCGGCCACCUGGACCAGUACUGACACUGAGGCACGAAAGCGUGGGGAGCAAAC